rnacentral:rRNA from 1 species
AGCGAACGCUGGCGGCAGGCCUAACACAUGCAAGUCGAGCGCCCAGCAACGGGAGCGGCAGACGGGUGAGUAACGCGUGGGGAUCUGCCCAAUGGUACGGAAUAACCCAGGGAAACUUGGAUUAAUACCGUAUGUGCCCUUCGGGGGAAAGAUUUAUCGCCAUUGGAUGAACCCGCGUCGGAUUAGCUAGUUGGUGUGGUAAAGGCGCACCAAGGCGACGAUCCGUAGCUGGUCUGAGAGGAUGAUCAGCCACACUGGGACUGAGACACGGCCCAGACUCCUACGGGAGGCAGCAGUGGGGAAUAUUGGACAAUGGGCGCAAGCCUGAUCCAGCAAUGCCGCGUGAGUGAUGAAGGCCUUAGGGUCGUAAAGCUCUUUUACCCGGGAUGAUAAUGACAGUACCGGGAGAAUAAGCUCCGGCUAACUCCGUGCCAGCAGCCGCCGUAA